UUGAGAUACUAUUGCACUGUGAUGUUUCCAGACGCCUGAGGGUCUUCAGGUGCCACCAGUGCGUGGGGCAGAGGCAGGCUCUACACAGCUCCAACAGCCCGGUGGAGGGGGUCUGAUAUUUCUGGGAGACUGAUUUGAUUCUGAUGGCUUCUCAGUUUAUAUUCAGUCCAGGAUCAGAAAUCACAGAUAGGUCAAGAAGGAGUUUCAUAAAUGGGAUGCAGAUCCAUAUGAAGUCUUGGGCCAGUUUUCUCCUCUACAGAAGAAAAGGCGAUUAUAGAACCUACGUCAUCAGGCCAUGAGGAGCCUUCUGCGUAGAACUGGAUGUGUAAAGAACUUAUCAGAGCCCUAAGGAACACCGAGCUUUACAGUAAAUUAAACCUAAUAAAAGUACGGCCCUUGUGCUUCAAGAUCAAAAGUCGAACGUGUUAGAAGGAAAUUACAAGUCAGAAGGCACGCCGGGUGAAAUGAUCGGAUGUACUAUGUCAAACUGAGUUUAAAAGCAGUCUUCACUCUUUUCCCUUAAGAAAAAGGGAACUUCAUAGAAUAGAAAAGGGAUAUUACAGCAGAACAUAUGUGUUUAAAUACUAAAUGUCUAGAGACUAAGAUGCAGUUAAGAGUUCUUUAGGAUCCAGACGUAACUAUUAAAAAUGAGUAGCUUACCAAGUCAUUCUGUAAAAAAACAAAACAAAACAAAACAAAAAAACAACCAACAACAACAAAAAACAACCCAAAACCCAAAAAUGCUUCCUUAGAAACGUCUGUAUUUACCUUGAAAUCCAAACCAGUAGUCAACAUGCAGUACGUGGUGGUUUCCAGUUGUAAGCUAAACAGACGUCAUUUGGUGUGCAGUGUAUCAUUUAUUCAUUCAGCAAACACAGUGUCAGCUGCUGAGCAGACAAAGACCAGCAAGGCUUAGUCCCUGCCCUUGAAGAAGUAAGAAUGAGUCCACAAUACUGUGAAAAUCACACGCAAA